GUGGGAACUGUCACUAGCAGAAGGAAGGAGGUACAAAGUCCCAAGUCCUCCCUCUGCUUGGCUGUUUGAGCUCUGGAUGUCAAAAAAGAGAAAGUCGUUAUGGAGACACCAUGGCAGCCACUAAACCACAAGAGUUAACAUGUAUGAGAAUGAGUGGUGGGCCAUGACAGGUUUAUAGGUUUUAUUUUCUCUUUAUUUCAGCUGCCAUUAGCUCUGGAACGGUGCUACCCUGCAGAACUCCUCACUAGUUACCUGUGGCUUCUGAGAUAUGGCUUGUGUGAUUGUAUUAGUUCAUAAACCUUCCACAGCGAAACCCCACAGACUGGGUGGCUUAAACAACAGGAAUUUAUUUUUUCUCAGUUCUGAGGCUAUAAGUCUCAGAUUAAGGUGUUGGUGGGGUUGAUUUCAUUCCGAGGUCUCUCCUUGGCUUGCACAUGGCUGUCUCUUUGCUGUGUGUCCUUGCAUAUUGUCUUUUCUUUGUGCACAUGCAUCCCGGUAUUUCUCUGUGUGUCUUAGUUUCCUCUGCUUAUAAGGACACCAGUUAGAUUGAAUUAAGACCCACCCUAAAAACCUUACUUUAACUUUAACCUCUUUAAAAACUUCAUCUCUAAAUAUAGUUACAUUGUGAGAUAUCAGCUGUUAGGGCUUUAACAUAUGAAUCUUUUGGGGGGGAGCAUAAUUCUGUCCAUAAUAGUGAUUUAAGAGCUAUCAUUUCUAACGUUAUUUAAUUUUAAUUAAUUUGAAUUUGAAGAGCUGCAUGUGGCUAGUGGCCAGUAUUGAGCGGUGCAGCACUGGAAGAUUUACUUACUAGCUCUUCUACUGUGAAUCCAGAAAAUUUUGUAGCAAUGGGAUUCUGCCUUGACCAUCAAUGGAAGGGUUUAACUGAAAUACCACACACUGAGUUGUGUUCUAGGGAUUUUUCACAAUAGAGAUUACUGUGGUGCUUUGGUGAAAUUGCCAAAAUGGUGAAAUCCAAGGCUGGAAGAGACAGAAAAGUAGGUCCCAAGAUUGCAGAUCAAGAGUAGAGCCACUAGCCAGGGUCAGGGGGUGAAACCUAGAAACUGAAUGAGAACAUAAGAAAAUGUGGAAUAAGGUUCCGUGGGUCCUGGACACCUGUUAUAACUCUGAUUGUAAGUGCUCUCAUGAUAUUCUUGACCUGCCAGAAUCCUUGACAACAGUCUCUAGGUUGUGUUCACUCUGUUUGGGAGUAAAUACCAAGUUAAUAGAAGCUUCAAACAGCUUUUCAGGGAGGAUUGUUUCUCUCUUUUCGAACCAUCUAAUCCAUGCCUCUUUUGUCCAGCAGCUUCUGGAUAGGAGGAAGAAUUACAUCUUGAUGACAGCAAACAGGAAAGGGUCCUUGGUAUGUGUGGUCUCCUUAGGUCUCUUCUAUGGCGUGGGUGGCCUGAGUAGGCUCCUUACAUUCAGUGUCUGUGACCACUGAAGUUCAGUUGGAUCUCGCUGGUCUGUGUUGGCCUCAUUGUUGCCUCUGGUCCCCUCCAUGUGUGGUGUGUUCCUGGUUUGCUAGCUCUCUUCGCAAUCCCUUGAUCAUCUCUUUCAAGGCAUCUGGUUUUCUGUUAUUGUCCAUAUUCUGGCACAGGCUCUGAGACCUAGAUGCUACCUCAAGUCCCUUCAUGUUCUCAACAGGAAGCAGUUUUUCCCCCUAAUGAGAGGACUUUGGCAACAUCUGUAGUUGUUUUCAUUUGUUCCUAUGGGUGGGGCACAGGUUGCCUACUGGCAUCUAGAAGCUGAAGAUGCUAUUCAACAUCCUGUACCAAAUCACUUUAUUAUACGGCAGAAAUUACCACAACAUUGUAAAUCAACUAUAUACUUCAAUAAAACUUUACAAACAAGCAAGCAAGCUCAUCCUAUGUUGCAUAGGACAGCCUUCACAGCAAAGAAGUAUUUGACCAAAAUUGCUGAGGUUGAAAACUUCCUUCUAGUCCAUCUUUUUACACACCCCCUUCACCCAUUCCUUAAGGCUUUGGUAGUGACACUAUCUAUCACCCAUCACUCUCAGUCUUUCUCAGUUUUGACCCCAAAGGGGAAUUCAGGAUACUUGUAUCCCAUCUGCUACCCGCUUUCUCUUUAUCAUGUCCUACAUUAGCUCUGCUCCAUGGCUAAUUGAUUUGGGUGCCCAAGGCUUAGCUCCAUCAAGGGGUGCUUUUACUUAUCCACUCUGGUCUUGAAACAAUGAAACAUUUAUUUAAUGGAUGGGGAGAAGAAUCCACUUAGGUGGAAAAAUUAAAUAGUUCAGUAUUUUCCAAGUAGUAUCCCUAUUAAGCCAUGGCCAAUGGAGCUACUGACAAGUAUUAGUGAGCAUAAGGUACAGGGGGUGUUGGGCACAGAGAAGUGUGAUGUCUCAGUGGGUGUCUUCUUGUGUGACCUUGAUCACUCAUGGUUGGAAGGGGGCGCUUGGCUCGGUUGGUUUUAUUAUCAGCACAACUGCCCAUCCCUUCUUCUACGUAGCUUAAAUCACAUCCUGACCUUGCUCCUGAUAGCUGCUGGCUUGAGAGAAUGAGAGAUGGGAGUAGAGGGAAAGACCCUCCCUGCUCCUCCCUCUGUGCUCCACCCCCUUCCCUGACCCCUCCCACCCCAGCCCCAGCAUACACACACACGCAAGUACACAUGUAACUCACAAGGAGGUAGCAUCCCUGAGAAAUGGUGCUGAGAGGCAGAAGAUCCCUGCUUCCUUGGGGCUCCCUCUUGCCACCUUGGCCUCUGUCCCACUGAGGACCAUGGUUGGCUCCAAACUCAGCACUUCCUGGGCCACGCCAGGUAUUUUCCUUUGUCCAUGUGACGCAGGAGAGCUGCUGGCCUGCGAGCCUGAGUGCACGUCUCCUUUGCCGCCACCUCAAGGAAACAGAAUCCUUGCGGCUGGGGUUUGGCAAAGCAUAGAGCAUUUCAAAUCAGGCUGGGCCAAAAAUGCAGGUCUAGUUUUCUUUUUAUACCUAAAAGCUUUUUAAAAUAUCUUUAAAUUUGUUCUUCAAGAAGAAAUAAACCUUUAUUAGGCCCUAUGUAUGGCUGUAAAUUUGAUUGACCAGAUGUUUGUCAGAUUUAAUACACGCUAUUUAAAAUGUUGCUUUCUACAUCUUGACUGAGGCUUUUCUGGUGAGGAAGGAGCCAGUUUAUAGGAAACAAUGAAAUCAUUUUUUACACCUUACAGAUGCUCUAAUCCCAUUACAGACUGAGGUGUUUAAAAUUCUUGGUGUUUUCUUGCUUUAUUUUUAUGGUAUGGGUGAUUCCAUGGGAGAAGGACCAGGCAAGAAAAUAUUUAAAUAAGGUACAAGUUGGGGGGCAGAGGUGGGGGGUGGAAUACAGGGAAUGGCUGAGGGUUAUUUUCUGUAUUUGAUUUGCUUUCCAGCCAUGGCUACUGGCUACAGCUGAAAGGCCACUGCUAGAACUUUGAUCAGCGAUGCCAAGCUCUUGGACCAUAGUCCAAGAAGCUGCUAUGCAGAAGAAUUGGGGCUAGUUUUUCUCCAGUCCUGCUAAACAGAAUGUGGCUUCCAUAAUCCCCUACCCCUCUCUCCUGAAAACAAAUCAUUCGUGUGUUUCCUAAAAGUCUCACAGACUCAAAUGCCUACAAGGACCAGGCAGAUACCAAAAAUUGCCGAGGUGAGCCAGACAGCUCUCUGUGGUAAAGCGGGGAUUCUGGGCCCACCCAAGAAACAGUGGGUCCUUAGCCAUAGCAUCUCAGUGCUCUGUGGGAACGUGAGCCCUGUAAAGGGAUGCCCAUGAGAAAUGUCCCAAUUUUAAGCAAACAAAAUUCAUCUGGAGGGUGUAUUCUGCCUGAGGACAGCGGGUUUCAAAUCUGAUAAAAUGUGUGUAAAUAGAAAUAUACCGUGUAUAGAUAAUCAGUCCCCACAUUUGAAUGCUUAGAACUAGUAAAAGGGCUUUUAAGUUUUGGAAGCUGACACAGGACCUGUCAGCCUUUUAUUUUAUAGAAAAGUGCUAAGCAAAUGCUGUUACUAUUUGCUGUCACCAACAGGUUUCAUUAAACAAAGAAUAUUAGUUCCCCCCCCAAAGAAGAGUAGGGAGAAGACCAUCUCAGAUUUAAAAAUGGCCUUUCAGAUGAAUAAUUUUAUUUUUCUGGAACAUCCUCAAACUCUCUAUUCUUUUCUGAUUUUCUGGUGAACACCUCACCAUGGUCCAGUGGCAAUCUACAGACCGUUGCCAAAACUCUCCCACCCGGUAAUAUUAGGACAGUUUGUUUUCUCCAACUACUUCCACCACGAGGGUGUUCAUAGGUUUUGUCCAGUGAUGAAUUAGGUCUGUAAUUAUUUAGGUUCCAUAAAGGAGAAAGGUCUUUUUUUUUUAUUAGUACAAACAAAAA
rnacentral:lncRNA from 1 species